rnacentral:rRNA from 1 species
UUGGAGGGCAAGUCUGGUGCCAGCAGCCGCGGUAAUUCCAGCUCCAAUAGCGUAUAUUAAAGUUGUUGCAGUUAAAAAGCUCGUAGUUGAAUUUCGGGAUCAAUAUAUCGGUCGUGCCUUGGUACGUACUGGUAUCAUUGGUUUCUCCUUUCUGACGAACCAUGAUGUCAUUAAUUUGGUGUUAUGGGAAGUUAGGACUGUUACUUUGAAAAAAUUAGAGUGUUUAAAGCAGGCUUUAGCUUGAAUACAUUAGCAUGGAAUAAUGAAAUAGGACGUUCGAACCUAUUUUGUUGGUUUCUAGGAUCAACGUAAUGAUUAAUAGGGAUAGUUGGGGGCAUUAGUAUUCAAUUGUCAGAGGUGAAAUUCUCGGAUUUAUUGAAGACUAACUACUGCGAAAGCAUUUGCCAAGGAUGUUUUCAUUAAUCAAGAACGAAAGUUAGGGGAUCGAAGACGAUCAGAUACCGUCGUAGUCUUAACCAUAAACUAUGCCGACUAGGGAUCGGAUGAUGUUAAUUCUUUAAUGACUCAUUCGGCGCCUUACGGGAAAC